UACGUAGGUGGCGAGCGUUGUCCGGAUUUACUGGGCGUAAAGAGCGCGCAGGCGGCUGGGCAAGUCCGAUGUGAAAGCUUCCGGCUUAACUGGAAAAUUGCAUCGGAAACUGCUCGGCUUGAAGGUGGGAGAGGGUAGCGGAAUUCCUGGUGUAGCGGUGAAAUGCGCAGAUAUCAGGAGGAACACCGGUGGCGAAGGCGGAUCUCUGGGCCUGUUCUGACGCUGAGGCGCGAAAGCUAGGGGAGCGAACAGG
rnacentral:rRNA from 1 species